AUCAGAGGCUGAUUAAAGGAACUUCAGAAAUGAUGUGGCACAAAGACUGCUGUUAAUGACCUCCGAUUACUGUUGAUUGUACCUUCCUAUACUGCAAAAAAUAAUUCUGCAUUCAUGGCACAUUAUAGUUGUGGAAUUUUCUUCAUCAAAGUGUACAUAUUUAGUCCAUUGAUAUGAAUUUUUGGUUCUUCAGCAAGGUUGUUGAUACACCCCCUAAGACCAUCUUCAGCAAACAAGCCCAUUGCCUCUUGUCCUUUCUCUGGAUGCCACUGAGAGGAAUCUGGCUCUGUCCUAUUUUCAUCCCAUCAGACAUUUAUAUACAUUAAUUAAGUGCACUCAGAGUCUUCCCUACACUAGGCUAAAACUUCCCAAGUCUCUCAGCUUUUUCUCAGAAGAGAGAUGCUCAGACCCUUAAUCACCGUAGUGGCCCUUCACUGGACUCUCUCCGGUAUCUCUGUGUUUCUCCUGUACUGGGAAGCCUGGAACUGAUCCCAGCACUCCACAUGGAGCCUCACCAGUGGAAAGCAGAAAGGAAGAAUCUCCCCUCUGGACCUGUUGGCAAUGCUUUUCCUCACACAGCCCAGGAUGCUCCUUUGCUUCCAAGGUGUACCACUGGCUCACAGUCAGCUAUUGGCAGCUCUCAAAACCAAAGCCAGUUAAUUGCAUGGAAGUUUUUGGAAUUAAAUAUCAUCUGAAUGGGUCACUUGAACCUGUCUUUCCUUCAUCUUUUUUUUGGCAGAUGUCCCAGAUGUAUCCCAAAUUAACAAUUUUUAUAGAAGCUGAGUGGUUUCACAAGGAGAACCUGCAAUUUUUUUCAGAGAACUGUGUGGCUUGUUAGUUUGUGAUCUGGCAUUAGAGCACACUGAAUCAUGUAAAUUGGGCAUUAGAAAGGCAGGCUCCUAACUUUGAAAUAAUUUUCUUGACUUGCAGUGUCAUAAAAACAUUAGUGUCUCAUUUUUUUCCUAAUUGGAAGUCUGUGCUUCAACUACCUUUUGAAUGAAGAUGUAUGUAUUCUGAAGGUGUGUUUUGAUAAAUUGUGUUUCUUUGAGAACUAAGGAGUUCACUGAAAUUAAAAAUUUGACAGCUACACACAUAGGCAUAAAGAAGAAAUAGGUGCCACACAUUUUUUUUUUUUUGAGAACUAAAUGUCUAGAUAUUUUUGAAACAGGAGUCAAAGAUCUGCAAUGGGAAAUUCAGUGUGCUUUGAUUACCUAAAAGUGAGUCACUUUGUGGAAAUAUUCUAAACCUGAAAAAAUAAAAACCUAUCUGUGAAAAAUAAAGAUUAUGUAAAAGACUUUCACAUUUAUUUGAUAAUUUUUAAAAUUAUUUAAUGCUGUUGGUUGUGAUUUAUCCCCUAACUAAACUGUGUUUGUGUUGAUUCUGAGAGAAAACGGAGGUGUUCAAGCACAGACAGAUGUGUUUUGGUGAUUUAUUUCAUACUGCUUCUUCUCUUUGGAUUUGAAACAAGUAAUAAUGAAUUCCUUCCAAUUCCUUUGUAAGCUUAGGCCAGGGCUUUGUGUUCUACAACCUACUCAUCACACAUAAUUAUAUGGGGCAAUUAUAUGGUAUAGCUGGUUGCCUAUAAGAAACAAAAGGGACAAAACUCACAUUUUGGUUUUGAUUCUCAGGCUGAAUUUAAAUUGUAUAAAAAAAAA